rnacentral:rRNA from 1 species
CCUACGGGUGGCAGCAGUGGGGAAUAUUGGACAAUGGGGGGAACCCUGAUCCAGCGACGCCGCGUGAGUGAAGAAGUACUUCGGUAUGUAAAGCUCUAUCAGCAGGGAAGAAAAUGACGGUACCUGACUAAGAAGCCCCGGCUAACUACGUGCCAGAAGCCGCGGUAAUACGGAGGGGGCCAGCGUUAUCCGGAUUUACUGGGGGUAAAGGGGGCGUAGACGGUGCAGCAAGUCUGAUGGGAAAGGUCGGGGCCCAACCCCGGGACUGCAUUGGAAACUGGUGAACUGGAGUACAGGAGAGGUAAGCGGAAUUCGUGGUGUAGCGGUGAAAUGCGUAGAUAUUAGGAGGAACACCAGUGGCGAAGGCAGCUUACUGGACUGUAACUGACGUUGAGGCUCGAAAGCGUGGGUAGCAAACAGGAUUAGAUACCCUAGUAGUC